GACGAACGCUGGCGGCGGGCUUAACACAUGCAAGUCGAACGGAAAGGCCCUGCUUUUGUGGGGUGCUCGAGUGGCGAACGGGUGAGUAACACGUGUGUAACCUGCCCUUGACUUUGGGAUGACUUCAGGAAACUGGGGCUAAUAUCGGAUAGGAUCUCCUGCUGCAUGGUGGGGGUUGGAAAGUUUCGGCGGUUGGGGAUGGACUGGCGGCUUAUCAGCUUGUUGGUUGGGGAGGUGCUGACCAAGGCUUUGAAGGGUAGCCGGCCUGGGAGGGUGAACGGCCACAAUGGGACUGAGAUACGGACCAGACUCCUACGGGAGGCAGCAGUGGGAAGUAUUGCACAAUGGGCGGGAGCCUGAUGCAGCAACGCCGCGUGCGGGAAGACGGCCUUCGGGUUGUAAACCGCUUUCGCCUGUGACGAAGCGUGAGUGACGGUAAUGGGUAAAGAAGCACCGGCUAACUACGUG
rnacentral:rRNA from 1 species